rnacentral:rRNA from 1 species
GCUAAAAUUCUAGCCCCAUUCCCCCCCCCCCCAAAAAACUACGAAAUUUUACUUUUUUAAAUUAAAACAUUCUAACAGUCUAGUAAAGGCGAUUGAAAAACUAAUCGGAGCAAUAUAUAAAGUACCGCAAGGGAAAAAUGAAAUAUAAUGAAAUAUUUUCAAGCACAAAAAAGUAGAGAUUUCCCCUCGUACCUUUUGCAUCAUGGUUUAACUAGUCCAACCAAGCAAAAAGACUUUUAGUUUGACCUCCCGAAACUAAGCGAGCUACUUCAAGGCAGCUUAUUGAGCCAACCCGUCUCUGUUGCAAAAGAGUGGGAAGACCUUCAAGUAGAGGUGACAGACCUAACGAGCUUAGUGAUAGCUGGUUACUCAAGAAAAAGAUUUAGUCUUUCCUAAAAUCAAUCUAUUACUAAAAGAUAAAAAUUUGACUUUAGAGCUAUUCAAAUAAGGUACAGCCUAUUUGAAACAGGACACAACCUCGACUAAUGGGUAAACUAAUGACCCCCCGCACAAUCAAGUAGGCCUAAGAGCAGCCACCUUUAAAACAGCGUCAAAGCUUUAUUAUGCUAACAUUUAAUUUCCACAAUUUUCACCAACCCUUUAUUUGUAUUGAGUAAUUCUAUACCCCUAUAGAACUUUUUAUGUUAAAACUAGUAACAAGAAGAAGACCUUCUCUUAAAUGCGAGUAUAAAUCAGUAAGGACACACCGCUGAUGAUUAACACCCAUGAACACAAAGUAGUAACCCUACAAGAAGAUUCUACUUACUUUUGUGUUAAUCUAACACAAGGGCAUUGCAAGAAAGAUUAAAACAAAAAGAAGGAACUCGGCAAAUAUCAACCUCGCCUGUUUACCAAAAACAUCGCCUCUUGUAAAACAUAAGAGGUCCAGCCUGCCCAGUGACUCUGUUCAACGGCCGCGGUAUCCUAACCGUGCGAAGGUAGCGUAAUCACUUGUUCUUUAAAUGAGGACUAGUAUGAAUGGCACCACGAGGGUUGUACUGUCUCCUUUUUCUAAUCAGUGAAACUAAUCUCCCCGUGAAGAAGCGGGGAUGAAUUUAUAAGACGAGAAGACCCUAUGGAGCUUUAAACAAAAUAACAAUUGCUAAUCUAUUCCCCCUUCCAGAAUAUUAAACUUUACCUUAGCACUCUGAUUAUAAGUUUUAGGUUGGGGUGACCGCGGAGUAAAAAUUAACCUCCACAUUGAAUGGAACUUUAUCCUAAACAAAAAGCUACAACUUUAUGUAUCAGAAAACUGACAUCAAUUGACCCAAUAUUUUUGAUCAACGAACCAAGUUACCCUAGGGAUAACAGCGCAAUCCACUUCAAGAGCUCUUAUCGACAAGUGGGUUUACGACCUCGAUGUUGGAUCAGGGUACCCCAGUGGUGCAGCCGCUACUAAAGGUUCGUUUGUUCAACGAUUAAAACCCU